rnacentral:rRNA from 1 species
AUUGAACGCUGGCGGCAUGCUUUACACAUGCAAGUCGGACGAGUGGCGAACGGGUGAGUAACGCAUCGGAACGUACCGAGUAAUGGGGGAUUACUGUCCGAAAGGACAGCUAAUACCGAAUAUUAUUCGAGCUGCCGAUGGCAGAUUAGCUGGUUGGCGGGGUAAAGGCCAACAAAGGCGAGGAUAAGUAGCGGGGCUGAGAGGAUGAGCCGCAACACUGGGACUGAGACCCGGCCCAGACUCCUACGGGGGGCAGCAGUGGGGAAUGUUGGACGAUGGGCGCAAGCCUGGUCCAGCCAUGCCGCGAGUCUGAAGAAGGCCUUCGGGUUGUAAAGGACUUUUGUCAGGGAAGCGGUACCUGAAGAAUAAGCACCGGCUAACUACGUGCCAGCAGCCGCGGUAAUAC